GACCUCUAAUCGGAAAA
rnacentral:rRNA from 1 species